UCACUCUGAUUUCGCAGCUUUUGCAACCCCCGAGUUCGAUCUCUACAAUUUGUCUGGACCACAAAUGACACAAAUGGGGACUUUUGUGGAAAGCCAUUGAUGAGGGCCAGACAUUUUUAUAUAUCAAAGAUUAUUAUUUGCUAUCACUGGGGAAGGAUCUCGCAAAGAGAAGUAUGAGGAGAACAUAAAGAAAUUCAACCUCAAACUUGUGGCUUUCCUUGCCAUUUGGCUGUAACCAGAGGACUGCCCCUUCCUUCUUGUGAGCAAAACUCUGGUUCAUUUUUCUAUACAGUUUUUGACUCGUUUAGCAUGAAUGGUUCAGUUCAUUUAUGAUUUCUCUUACGUGUGGUUAGUACAAUAUCAUCAUUGCAGUUAAGGAACAAUGUUUAGUAGUUCAGAGAUGGUACUACAAGUUCAUAUUUGCGUGUGAAGGAAAAAUAUGGAUUGCGGAUCUCUUAUACAAUAAGUCGAAAUGACUACAACGAACUUGGCACGUAACAAAGAGGUGCAACACGGAACACAUAGUAAAAUGUGAUGGAGAUAUUAAAGAGAUUUUGAGAUGUACUAGAAUGAAUGGAAGGCCACAGUUGUCAUAAAACUUUUCUUCAACUUGAGAUUUGUUAGAAGUUCAUUAUUGUAUUUUUUUUUUGAACAGUGAACUUCAUUAAACACAAGGGCAGGCCUCAAACCGAGGGCCACCACACCAAACUCUUACAUCAUAUACAAAGGAUUUU
rnacentral:lncRNA from 1 species